AUUGAACGCUGGCGGCAGGCCUAAUACAUGCAAGUCGAGCGGAAACGAUGAGAGCUUGCUCUCAGGCGUCGAGCGGCGGACGGGUGAGUAACGCGUAGGAAUCUACCCAGUAGCGGGGGAUAGCCCGGGGAAACUCGGAUUAAUACCGCAUACGCCCUAAGGGGGAAAGCAGGGGAUCUUCGGACCUUGCACUAUUGGAUGAGCCUGCGUUGGAUUAGCUAGUUGGUGGGGUAAAGGCCUACCAAGGCGACGAUCCAUAGCUGGUCUGAGAGGAUGAUCAGCCACACUGGGACUGAGACACGGCCCAGACUCCUACGGGAGGCAGCAGUAGGGAAUAUUGGACAAUGGGGGCAACCCUGAUCCAGCCAUGCCGCGUGUGUGAAGAAGGCUUUCGGGUUGUAAAGCACUUUCAGUGAGGAAGAAAUGGCAGCGGCUAAUACCCGCGGUCUAUGACAUUACUCACAGAAGAAGGACCGGCUAACUCCG
rnacentral:rRNA from 1 species